rnacentral:lncRNA from 1 species
UAGGUUCGUCUUUUACCGUUUCUGUUGCCUCGAAUUCAGUAGCUGCAGGUUCAUCUUUUACCAUUUCUGUAGGCUCAACUACAGUUGUCACAGGUUCUUCUUUUACGGUUUCUGUAGCUUCAACUUCAGUAGCCACAGAUUCUUCUUUUACUGUUUCUGUAGCUUCAACUUCAGUAGCCACUGGUUCUUCUUUUACUGUUUCUGUAGCUUCAACUUCAGUAGCCACUGGUUCUUCUUUUACUGUUUCUGUAGCUUCAACUUCAGUAGCUGCAGGUUCGUCUUUUACCGUUUCUGUAGCCUCAACUUCAGUUGCCACAGGUUCUUCUUUUACCGUUUCUGUAGGCUCAACUUCAGUAGCCACGGGUUCUUCUUUUACUGUUUCUGUAGCUUCAGCUUCAGUAGCUAGAGGUUCUUCUUUUACCGUUUCUGUAGGAUCAACUUCAGUAACCACAGGUUCGUCUUUUACGGUUUCUGUAACCUUAACUUCAGUAGCUGCAGGUUCUUCUUUUACUGUUUCCGUAGCCUCAACUUCAGUAGCCACAAGUUCUUCUUUUAGUGUUUCUGUAGCCUCAACUUCAGUAACCACGGGUUCUUCUUUUACUAUCUCUGCA